rnacentral:rRNA from 1 species
UGGUCAAGUUAUUAAGGGUGCAGGGCGGAUGCCUUGGCACUAGGAGCCGAUGAAGGACGUGAUAAGCUACGAUAAGCUUCGGGGAGUUGCACGUAAACUUUGAUCCGAAGAUUUCCGAAUGAGGAAACUCACUUAGAGUAAUGUCUAAGUAUCAUUAAGUGAAUACAUAGCUUAAUGAGGGGAACUCAGGG